AGUGAACGCUGGCGGUAGGCCUAACACAUGCAAGUCGAACGGCAGCACAGUAAGAGCCUGCUCUUACGGGUGGCGAGUGGCGGACGGGUGAGGAAUACAUCGGAAUCUACUUUUUCGUGGGGGAUAACGUAGGGAGACUUACGCUAAUACCGCAUACGACCUACGGGUGAAAGCAGGGGAUCUUCGGACCUUGCGCGAUUGAAUGAGCCGAUGUCGGAUUAGCUAGUUGGCGGGGUAAAGGCCCACCAAGGCGACGAUCCGUAGCUGGUCUGAGAGGAUGAUCAGCCACACUGGAACUGAGACACGGUCCAGACUCCUACGGGAGGCAGCAGUGGGGAAUAUUGGACAAUGGGCGCAAGCCUGAUCCAGCCAUACCGCGUGGGUGAAGAAGGCCUUCGGGUUGUAAAGCCCUUUUGUUGGGAAAGAAAAGCAGCAGGUUAAUACCCCGCUGUUCUGACGGUACCCAAAGAAUAAGCACCGGCUAACUUCGUG
rnacentral:rRNA from 1 species